rnacentral:rRNA from 1 species
UAAAAUAAUUAAGGGCACACAAAGGAUGCCUAGGUAGUAAGAGCCGAUGAAGGACGUGGUAAGCUGCGAUAAGCCUAGAUAAGUUGCAAUCGAACGUAAGAGUCUAGGAUUUCCGAAUGGAGCAAUCUAUUAAGAUGGAGUCUUAAUACGAAAGAGGGAACCGCGUGAACUGAAACAUCUAAGUAACGCGAGGAAAAGAAAGUAAAAACGAUACCCAAAGUAGCGGCGAGCGAACUGGGUCAAGCCUAAACCUUAAAUAUGUCAAGGAUACAGCCGUUGUAUUUAAGGGGUUGAGGGACUAAGUUGUGAAGAACUGUAAGAUAUUCAAUAUAGUGUAUUGAUGAAUUAGAAUUGUAUGGAAAGAUAAACCGUAGAAGGUGAAAGUCCUGUAUAAGUAAAUCCUUACACAUAUAACUUAGCUCCCAAGUAGCAUGGAACACGAGGAAUUCUGUGUGAAUCAGUGAGGACCAUAUCUCAUAAGGCUAAAUACUCUUACUAACCGAUAGCGCAUAGUACCGUGAGGGAAAGGUGAAAAGAACCCCUGGAGGGGAGUGAAAUAGAACCUGAAAUUGUGUGCUUACAAGCGGUCAAAGCCCAUUUGGGUGAUGGCGUGCCUUUUGGAGAAUGAUCCUGCGAGUUACGUUAAACGGCGAGGUUAAGUAUAACGGAGCCGAAGGGAAACCAAGUCUUAAUAGGGCGAUAUAGUCGUUUGGCGUAGACGCGAAACCUGGUGAUCUAAACCUGUCCAGGAUGAAGCUGUGGUAAGACACAGUGGAGGUCCUAACCCACCGCCGUUGAAAAGUUGGGGGAUGAGGUAGGUUUAGGGGUGAAAAGCCAAUCGAACCAGGAGAUAGCUCGUUCUCUCCGAAAUGCAUCUAGGUGCAGCCUUGAGUGUUCAAUUAUGGGGGUAGAGCACUGAAUGAUCUAGGGGGCAUAUUGCUUACUGAAAUCAAUCAAACUCCAAAUACCAUAAUUUAUAGCUCAGGAGUGAGACCAUGGGAGUUAACUUCCAUUGUCAAAAGGGAAACAACCCAGACCACCAGCUAAGGUCCCUAAUUAUAACUAAGUGGGAAAGGAGGUGGAGAUUCACAAACAACUAGGAGGUUGGCUUAGAAGCAGCCAUACCUUUAAAGAGUGCGUAAUAGCUCACUAGUCGAGAGUCUCUGCGCCGACAAUGUAACGGGGCUAAGUUAUAAACCGAAGCUGUGGAAUCCUUAUGGAUUGGUAGGAGAGCGUUCUGUAGGCCGUUGAAGAAGAAGGGUAACCAACUUUGGAGGUAUCAGAAGUGAGAAUGCAGGAAUAAGUAGCGAGAAAGGGGGCGAGAAUCCCCCUCGCCGGAAGACCAAGGUUUUCAGGGUAAAGCUUGUCUUCCCUGAGUAAGCCGGGACCUAAGCCCAGGCUAUAAUGCGUAGGCGAAUGGAAAACAGAUUAAUAUUUCUGUGCCAGUCAUUUAUUGUGAUGGAGGGACGCAGAAGGGUAUGUGCGCGGACGAUCGGUUGUGUCCGUAGAAGUAUGUAGGGUGACUUAGUAGGAAAAUCCAUUAAGUUAUAUCUGAGGUAUGAUAUACAGUCGUAAGAUGAAUGUGCAAAUCCCACGCUGCCAAGAAAAACUUCUAGCGUUAAUAUAUGACUGCCCGUACUGUAAACCGACACAGGUGGUCAGGAUGAGAAAUCUAAGGCGGACAGGCUAACUCUCGUUAAGGAACUCUGCAAAAUAACCUCGUAACUUCGGGAGAAGAGGAGCCCUUGUGUGUGAGUAUACAUGCGAUACAAAGCGCACGAGGGUCGCAGUGAAGAGGCUCAAGCAACUGUUUAACAAAAACACAGGUCUAUGCUAAGCUGUAAGGCGAUGUAUAUGGGCUGACACCUGCCCAGUGCUGGAAGGUUAAGAGGAGGAGUGAGAGCUCCGAAUUGAAGCCCCAGUGAACGGCGGCCGUAACUAUAACGGUCCUAAGGUAGCGAAAUUCCUUGUCGGGUAAG